CUUAUAUGACUAGUGCGUUGCUAGUAUUGUCUAGAAUGCAUCAGUUUCCUUCAAUCGAAUAUGUUUCUUACUAUUCUUUCGUGUCAUGCCAUGCCUUCGUUGGUUCAACUAGUUUUGUUAUGUUACUCACAAUUCUGUCAUAUCAUCUCAUGUUUAGUUAGUUUAACUAGUUUCUGUUAUAUUACUCGUUGUUCUAUUGUGUCAUUGGUUCUUUGAUGUUGCACUACUCUGGCUUUACUUCUGAUAAUUGAGAAUAGAAAUCGGAUAUUUUUUAUUUAAUUUAGAAAGUAAAUAUUUUCUCAAUAUUUUCUAAUGAAUAUGUUUUGCGACAAGCCUAGAGGUAAGUCACGGAUUUCGAAGGUAAUGACAUGGUUUCAAAAUUAAUAACUUUUAAAACUUUAGUAGUGUAGUUUAAAUACUACUUCCCUUACUAAAUUUUAUAGAACUCACCCCAAUCCAUUUCCCCACAGAUGAUAAUGAUAGUGAGGAAUCACUUCUUGAGCUACCCCUUGAAGCUUGCUUGGAUCCAUUUACAGAUCUGUAGUGGACAUUUGAAUGCAAUUGAUGACUGUACUCUGAUGAACUAUUCUUUUUGUAGUGUUAGAAGUGGCUAGACACAUGUUGUAUAUAUUUUGGUCAGCUAUCUUCUUGGUCUCUAGUGUAUUUGAACAUCAAAUAUUUUGUAAGAGAUGAUUUUUUUCUUCCGCUGUAUAAAUUUAAUUUAUACUCAUAUCUAUUAAUGUAUCAGACUCUUUUACCCAUCAGGUAAUGGGAUGUCACAUAAUCCAUUGAUACCCCUGACUCAUUGUCGGUCAGGUACCCAGCUCCUACAAAUCCCCUGCCUCAUCGACUAGGUUUGCUGUAUAGCUCCAACUAACACAAAUUCCUCAUCUCAUUGCUUAGGUUCAAUGUGUAGCCCGUGCAAAUCCCCUAACAUAUUGUCUAGGUUCACUACACCCACCUGGCAUGCUAUAGGUGGGAGCCGAGCACUCUCCCCAGUAGGUGAUGCACCCUCAAAACUAAAUUCAUCAUAAAAGUCACAAUAUCCCAGUCUCAAUAAAAGCAUCACAUGAUUAAAUUUUAUCAUCAUCAAUAUACAUGUAAAUCACAAAUCCAUGUAAAUAUAUAUAAAAUUACUUCAAAGCUACCUAUACUAAUGCAAUCACAAUAUCUACUUACCUUAAGUCCUAUGCAAAGUUAGACUCAAAGAGAGUCUCUACUUACACAAUCCUUGAAUCUGUUUAUUUACUUUAGCAAAGUCUCCCCCUAAGAAUACUUCAAUUUCCUAUUUUCAAAUGGGCAGUGUCUCCCUUUAGUUUAUUUCAAUUUUUUACUAGAAUUUUGACGAAGUCUCCCCUUAGUUUUUCUCAAUUUUCUACCCAAAUUGCAAUAGAGUCUCCCCUUAAAAAUAUUAAUAAUGUUUAACUCAAAAAUUCCUUCUUGAUAUAGAAAUCACAUAUCUAAAAAAGGGUUUAAAUGAUCUUACCUUAUAUCACCCGCAACCUUAAUUUUGGCAAAGUCCCAACUCAGUUUUUAACUUUUUUCACCUAGAAAUUCGACAGAGUUUCAGGAUAUUUUUGAGAAAUAUCUAACCUCAAAAAUAUCUCUCACAUUAAUAUAAAACUACUCUCAAAAUUUAAAGAAAAACCGAAUUAAAAUGAGAGAGAUAUGCUUUCCAUCACCCCCGAUCAAUAGGAGAGGAAAGCCAAGGUGUUGAUUGCCUAUCCAAUGUGGGACAUUUUGGUUUGCACUUUACUUCCUAACAAAUGUGGGAUAUUUGUAACUUUAACUUCCUAAUCGAUGUGGGACUUUUGUUGUUAUGAUUUUUCUAACCGGUGUGGGACUUUUGUCAUUCUAAAAUUCUUAAUCGAUGUGUGAUUUUUGGAUCUUAACUAUCACACAUUAUUUUAGGGUUUCUUCCCGCUCUAGAGGCUUUCAAGCUCAUCAAAACUCCUCCCACCACUUUAUCCUCCUUUGAGGUGCUUCCAUACAAAAUUUGGGCCAUUCCAACUCUGUUGGGUCACUUUUGUGUAAUGUCUCAACUCCUCCUCAAAGAAGGAAACACUAUC
rnacentral:lncRNA from 1 species